rnacentral:rRNA from 1 species
UGGGGAAUAUUGCACAAUGGGCGCAAGCCUGAUGCAGCCAUGCCGCGUGUAUGAAGAAGGCCUUCGGGUUGUAAAGUACUUUCAGCGGGGAGGAAGGUGUUGAGGUUAAUAACCUCAGCAAUUGACGUUACUCGCAGAAGAAGCACCGGCUAACUCCGUGCCAGCAGCCGCGGUAAUACGGAGGGUGCAAGCGUUAAUCGGAAUUACUGGGCGUAAAGCGCACGCAGGCGGUCUGUCAAGUCGGAUGUGAAAUCCCCGGGCUCAACCUGGGAACUGCAUUCGAAACUGGCAGGCUAGAGUCUUGUAGAGGGGGGUAGAAUUCCAGGUGUAGCGGUGAAAUGCGUAGAGAUCUGGAGGAAUACCGGUGGCGAAGGCGGCCCCCUGGACAAAGACUGACGCUCAGGUGCGAAAGCGUGGGGAGCAAACA